rnacentral:rRNA from 1 species
AGAUGAGAAGCUUGCUUCUCUGAUGUUAGCGGCGGACGGGUGAGUAACACGGUGGGUAACCUACCUAUAAGACUGGGAUAACUCCGGGAAACCGGGGCUAAUACCGGAUAAUAUUUUGAACCGCAUGGUUCAAUAGUGAAAGACGGUUUCGGCUGUCACUUAUAGAUGGACCCGCGCCGUAUUAGCUAGUUGGUAAGGUAACGGCUUACCAAGGCGACGAUACGUAGCCGACCUGAGAGGGUGAUCGGCCACACUGGAACUGAGACACGGUCCAGACUCCUACGGGAGGCAGCAGUAGGGAAUCUUCCGCAAUGGGCGAAAGCCUGACGGAGCAACGCCGCGUGAGUGAUGAAGGUCUUCGGAUCGUAAAACUCUGUUGUUAGGGAAGAACAAAUUUGUUAGUAACUGAACAAGUCUUGACGGUACCUAACCAGAAAGCCACGGCUAACUACGUGCCAGCAGCCGCGGUAAUACGUAGGUGGCAAGCGUUAUCCGGAAUUAUUGGGCGUAAAGCGCGCGUAGGCGGUUUCUUAAGUCUGAUGUGAAAGCCCACGGCUCAACCGUGGAGGGUCAUUGGAAACUGGGAAACUUGAGUGCAGAAGAGGAGAGUGGAAUUCCAUGUGUAGCGGUGAAAUGCGCAGAGAUAUGGAGGAACACCAGUGGCGAAGGCGGCUCUCUGGUCUGUAACUGACGCUGAUGUGCGAAAGCGUGGGGAUCAAACA